rnacentral:rRNA from 1 species
AUUGAACGCUGGCGGCAUGCCUUACACAUGCAAGUCGAACGGCAGCGGGGGAGAAGCUUGCUUUUCCUGCCGGCGAGUGGCGAACGGGUGAGUAAUACAUCGGAACGUGCCCUGUAGUGGGGGAUAACUAGUCGAAAGAUUAGCUAAUACCGCAUACGACCUGAGGGUGAAAGUGGGGGACCGCAAGGCCUCAUGCUAUAGGAGCGGCCGAUGUCUGAUUAGCUAGUUGGUGGGGUAACGGCUCACCAAGGCGACGAUCGGUAGCUGGUCUGAGAGGAUGGUCAGCCACCCGGGGACUGAGAUACGGCCCAGACUCCUACGGGAGGCAGCAGUCGAGAGGCUUCGGCAAUGGGGGAAACCCUGACCGAGCGACGCCGCGUGAGGGAUGACGCCCCUCGGGGUGUAAACCUCUUUUCUGAGGGAAGAAACUCGCGGAGGUGAACAAUCUCCGUGACUGACGGUACCUCAGGAAUAAGCUCCGGCCAACUCCGUGCCAGCCGCCGCGGUAA